GAGGGUAUAGCUCAAGUGGUAGAGCAUAUGCUUAACAUGCACAAGGUCAUGGGUUCAAUCCCCGGUACCUCCU
rfam:Camelus ferus unplaced genomic scaffold scaffold463, whole genome shotgun sequence.